AUGGUACUCCAUAAUUGCAAACAAGGGCAGGAAUGGAUCAAUUACAACAAUAUCUACAAAACAUCCUUACUGAACAUCUCCAAAAUAUGCAUGGAUCUCUCUGUAGCAUCAAGUUUACAUGGCAACAAAAUAACAGCAGACAGACUUAGAGAAAUUACUAAGUCCCUGAAAUCAGAAACAUUACGGGGCCUAGUUUGCAUGCUUGUGCUAGUCACCACAGAGAUCACAAAAAUACAUGGAAUACACCACUGGAAAGAUAGCAUGGCAUACAACAAAACACAUGUAGAGCUCACGCCCAUAAGAUGCACAGAUUAA
rnacentral:rRNA from 1 species